UACAGAGGUCCCGAGCGUUGUUCGGAUUCAUUGGGCGUAAAGGGUGCGUAGGCGGCGCGGUAAGUCGGGUGUGAAAUCUCGGAGCUUAACUCCGAAACUGCAUUCGAUACUGCCGUGCUUGAGGACUGGAGAGGAGACUGGAAUUUACGGUGUAGCAGUGAAAUGCGUAGAGAUCGUAAGGAAGGCCAGUGGCGAAGGCGAGUUCCUGGACAGUGACUGACGCUGAGGCACGAAGGCCAGGGGAGCAAACGGG
rnacentral:rRNA from 1 species